AGGCAGAAUUUAUUAUAAAUUUGUCAGAAAUCCACUGUCAAGGUUAAAAGAAGAGACAGGUGUUUUGCUAAGGCACUCUGCUGUGCAGUGAAGUUACCAACAAAUAAGAGUCCAGGGAAGCUUUAGGCUCCUUGAUGCUGUUGACCAUUAAAGACUAAAAAGCGGGAUCUGGAAAAGGUGACUGCAAAGCAAAAGCAAAGCCAGAAGAGGCCAUGAUGAGGCAGAUGAUGGGUUCCAGUGGCCACUAUGAGGCCAAAGAUGGGCCAGAAGAGGCCAUCAUGAGAAAGGAGCUGGUAUAACUGAGACAACUGUGAGACAGGAGCUGGGACUUGGGAGGCAGAUGUGAGGAAAGAGAUGAGCCAGGUGAGGA
rnacentral:lncRNA from 1 species